rnacentral:rRNA from 1 species
GACGGACGCUGGCGGCGUGCUUAACACAUGCAAGUCGAACGGAAAGGCCCCAGCUUGCUGGGGUACUCGAGUGGCGAACGGGUGAGUAACACGUGGGUGAUCUGCCCUGCACUCUGGGAUAAGCCUGGGAAACUGGGUCUAAUACCGGAUAGGACCGUGCUUUAGUGUGUGCGGUGGAAAGUUUUUCGGUGCAGGAUGAGCCCGCGGCCUAUCAGCUUGUUGGUGGGGUAAUGGCCUACCAAGGCGGCGACGGGUAGCCGGCCUGAGGGGGUGUACGGCCACAUUGGGACUGAGACACGGCCCAGACUCCUACGGGAGGCAGCAGUGGGGAAUAUUGCACAAUGGGCGCAAGCCUGAUGCAGCGACGCCGCGUGGGGGAUGACGGCCUUCGGGUUGUAAACCCCUUUCGGCAGGGACGAAGCUUUUGUGACGGUACCUGCAUAAGAAGCACCGGCUAACUACGUG